rnacentral:rRNA from 1 species
AGUCAACAUGCCCAGGGGACGUGGAUAACCUCGGGAAACUGAGGAUAAACCACGAUAGGUCAUAAUAUCUGGAAUGAUUUAUGGCUAAAAUCUACAUGGCCUCUGGAUUGGACUGCGGCCGAUCAGGCUGUUGGUGAGGUAAUGGCCCACCAAACCUAAAACCGGUACGGGCUCUGAGAGGAGAAGCCCGGAGAUGGGCACUGAGACAAGGGCCCAGGCCCUAUGGGGCGCAGCAGGCGCGAAAACUCUGCAAUAAGCGAAAGCUUGACAGGGUUAUUCUGAGUGAUUUCCGCUAAGGAAAUCUUUUGGCACCUCUAAAAAUGGUGCAGAAUAAGGGGUGGGCAAGCCUGGUGUCAGCCGCCGCGGUAAUACCAGCACCCCGAGUGGUCGGGACGAUUAUUGGGCCUAAAGCAUCCGUAGCCGGUUCUACAAGUCUUCCGUUAAAUCCAUCUGCUUAACAGAUGGGCUGCGGAGGAUACUAUGGAGCUAGGAGGCGGGAGAGGCAAGCGGUACUUAGUGGGUAGGGGUAAAAUCCGUUGAUCCACUGAAGACCACCAGUGGCGAAGGCGGCUUGCCAGAACGCGCUCGACGGUGAGGGAUGAAAGCCGGGGGAGCAAACCGGAUUAGAUACCCGGGUAGUCCCAGCUGUAAACGAUGCAGACUCGGUGAUGAAUAGGCUUCGUGCCUUUUCAGUGCCGCAGGGAAGCCGUUAAGUCUGCCGCCUGGGGAGUACGGUCGCAAGACUGAAACUUAA